CAGCCCUAGACUUCUCCGUUCCCUCCUCGCGCCGCCAACCCUUUCCCCUCCCCUCUGUUUCCUCUUCUUCCUCAAGGAACAGAGAAAGAGAAAACACCACCGAGAGCCUCGCCGUUGCUUGCGUGGUUGGAGGUCACCACGGUCAUCUCCGGUGUGCCAUGUUCAGGUUCCAAAUGUUCUAAACCUCUGCAUGUUCAGGUUCGAUUCAGAAUUUGAGAAGCAGGUGCUUACGGUGUCACGCAGUACAGUGAAAAGGGCGUUCAGAUAUACUUAACAGGUCCAUCAUUUCAGCUUUCGGUUCAUUCAUCUAUCUAAACUGUGAGGAGGAGCUAUCAAGGCUAGGGAUGUGUAUACAUCACUCCUAGCCACCGGAAGAAGUGGCCAGUUUUCCCUGUACACCUAAUUGUCUACAAUUUUGAUUGAUUUAUUUAUUUUUGCAAGAAUUUGAAACUGCAGGACGCCGGAGGCAUCCAAUAGUUGUAAUUUCCUGUUUGCUUUUGUCAAAUAUCUUCAGAAUUGUAUAAGUCACUUGCCUUAUUAAUCUUUUCGUCUCCACAAA